rnacentral:rRNA from 1 species
GAUGAACGCUGGCGGCGUGCCUAAUACAUGCAAGUCGAGCGAACGGACGAGAAGCUUGCUUUUCUGAUGUUAGCGGCGGACGGGUGAGUAACACGUGGAUAACCUACCUAUAAGACUGGGAUAACUUCGGGAAACCGGAGCUAAUACCGGAUAAUGUUUUGAACCGCAUGGUUCAAAAGUGAAAGACGGUCUUGCUGUCACUUAUAGAUGGAUCCGCGCUGCAUUAGCUAGUUGGUAAGGUAACGGCUUACCAAGGCAACGAUGCAUAGCCGACCUGAGAGGGUGAUCGGCCACACUGGAACUGAGACACGGUCCAGACUCCUACGGGAGGCAGCAGUAGGGAAUCUUCCGCAAUGGGCGAAAGCCUGACGGAGCAACGCCGCGUGAGUGAUGAAGGUCUUCGGAUCGUAAAACUCUGUUAUUAGGGAAGAACAUAUGUGUAAGUAACUGUGCACAUCUUGACGGUACCUAAUCAGAAAGCCACGGCUAACUACGUGCCAGCAGCCGCGGUAAUACGUAGGUGGCAAGCGUUAUCCGGAAUUAUUGGGCGUAAAGCGCGCGUAGGCGGUUUUUUAAGUCUGAUGUGAAAGCCCACGGCUCAACCGUGGAGGGUCAUUGGAAACUGGAAAACUUGAGUGCAGAAGAGGAAAGUGGAAUUCCAUGUGUAGCGGUGAAAUGCGCAGAGAUGUGGAGGAACACCAGUGGCGAAGGCGACUUUCUGGUCUGUAACUGACGCUGAUGUGCGAAAGCGUGGGGAUCAAACAGGAUUAGAUACCCUGGUAGUCCACGCCGUAAACGAUGAGUGCUAAGUGUUAGGGGGUUUCCGCCCCUUAGUGCUGCAGCUAACGCAUUAAGCACUCCGCCUGGGGAGUACGACCGCAAGGUUGAAACUCAAAGGAAUUGACGGGGGCCCGCACAAGCGGUGGAGCAUGUGGUUUAAUUCGAAGCAACGCGAAGAACCUUACCAAAUCUUGACAUCCUUUGACAACUCUAGAGAUAGAGCCUUCCCCUUCGGGGGACAAAGUGACAGGUGGUGCAUGGUUGUCGUCAGCUCGUGUCGUGAGAUGUUGGGUUAAGUCCCGCAACGAGCGCAACCCUUAAGCUUAGUUGCCAUCAUUAAGUUGGGCACUCUAAGUUGACUGCCGGUGACAAACCGGAGGAAGGUGGGGAUGACGUCAAAUCAUCAUGCCCCUUAUGAUUUGGGCUACACACGUGCUACAAUGGACAAUACAAAGGGCAGCGAAACCGCGAGGUCAAGCAAAUCCCAUAAAGUUGUUCUCAGUUCGGAUUGUAGUCUGCAACUCGACUACAUGAAGCUGGAAUCGCUAGUAAUCGUAGAUCAGCAUGCUACGGUGAAUACGUUCCCGGGUCU